UUGCACGCUGGCGGCAUGCCUUACACCUGCCAGUCGCACGGCAGCACGGGUGCUUGCACCUGGUGGCGAGUGGCGAACGGGUGAGUAAUACAUCGGAACAUGUCCUGUAGUGGGGGAUAGCCCGGCGAAAGCCGGAUUAAUACCGCAUACGAUCUACGGAUGAAAGCGGGGGACCUUCGGGCCUCGCGCUAUAGGGUUGGCCGAUGGCUGAUUAGCUAGUUGGUGGGGUAAAGGCCUACCAAGGCGACGAUCAGUAGCUGGUCUGAGAGGACGACCAGCCACACUGGGACUGAGACACGGCCCAGACUCCUACGGGAGGCAGCAGUGGGGAAUUUUGGACAAUGGGCGAAAGCCUGGUCCAGCAAUGCCGCGUGUGUGAAGAAGGCCUUCGGGUUGUAAAGCACUUUUGUCCGGAAAGAAAUCCUUGGCCCUAAUACGGUCGGGGGAUGACGGUACCGGAAGAAUAAGCACCGGCUAACUACGUG
rnacentral:rRNA from 1 species